rnacentral:rRNA from 1 species
AUCUAAGUACCCCGAGGAAAAGAAAUCAACCGAGAUUCCCCCAGUAGCGGCGAGCGAACGGGGAGCAGCCCAGAGCCUGAAUCAGUGUGUGUGUUAGUGGAAGCGUCUGGAAAGGCGCGCGAUACAGGGUGACAGCCCCGUACACAAAAAUGCACAUGCUGUGAGCUCGAUGAGUAGGGCGGGACACGUGGUAUCCUGUCUGAAUAUGGGGGGACCAUCCUCCAAGGCUAAAUACUCCUGACUGACCGAUAGUGAACCAGUACCGUGAGGGAAAGGCGAAAAGAACCCCGGCGAGGGGAGUGAAAAAGAACCUGAAACCGUGUACGUACAAGCAGUGGGAGCACGCUUAGGCGUGUGACUGCGUACCUUUUGUAUAAUGGGUCAGCGACUUAUAUUCUGUAGCAAGGUUAACCGAAUAGGGGAGCCGAAGGGAAACCGAGUCUUAACUGGGCGUUAAGUUGCAGGGUAUAGACCCGAAACCCGGUGAUCUAGCCAUGGGCAGGUUGAAGGUUGGGUAACACUAACUGGAGGACCGAACCGACUAAUGUUGAAAAAUUAGCGGAUGACUUGUGGCUGGGGGUGAAAGGCCAAUCAAACCGGGAGAUAGCUGGUUCUCCCCGAAAGCUAUUUAGGUAGCGCCUCGUGAAUUCAUCUCCGGGGGUAGAGCACUGUUUCGGCAAGGGGGUCAUCCCGACUUACCAACCCGAUGCAAACUGCGAAUACCGGAGAAUGUUAUCACGGGAGACACACGGCGGGUGCUAACGUCCGUCGUGAAGAGGGAAACAACCCAGACCGCCAGCUAAGGUCCCAAAGUCAUGGUUAAGUGGGAAACGAUGUGGGAAGGCCCAGACAGCCAGGAUGUUGGCUUAGAAGCAGCCAUCAUUUAAAGAAAGCGUAAUAGCUCACUGGUCGAGUCGGCCUGCGCGGAAGAUGUAACGGGGCUAAACCAUGCACCGAAGCUGCGGCAGCGACACUAUGUGUUGUUGGGUAGGGGAGCGUUCUGUAAGCCUGUGAAGGUGUGCUGUGAGGCAUGCUGGAGGUAUCAGAAGUGCGAAUGCUGACAUAAGUAACGAUAAAGCGGGUGAAAAGCCCGCUCGCCGGAAGACCAAGGGUUCCUGUCCAACGUUAAUCGGGGCAGGGUGAGUCGACCCCUAAGGCGAGGCCGAAAGGCGUAGUCGAUGGGAAACAGGUUAAUAUUCCUGUACUUGGUGUUACUGCGAAGGGGGGACGGAGAAGGCUAUGUUGGCCGGGCGACGGUUGUCCCGGUUUAAGCGUGUAGGCUGGUUUUCCAGGCAAAUCCGGAAAAUCAAGGCUGAGGCGUGAUGACGAGGCACUACGGUGCUGAAGCAACAAAUGCCCUGCUUCCAGGAAAAGCCUCUAAGCAUCAGGUAACAUCAAAUCGUACCCCAAACCGACACAGGUGGUCAGGUAGAGAAUACCAAGGCGCUUGAGAGAACUCGGGUGAAGGAACUAGGCAAAAUGGUGCCGUAACUUCGGGAGAAGGCACGCUGAUAUGUAGGUGAAGUCCCUCGCGGAUGGAGCUGAAAUCAGUCGAAGAUACCAGCUGGCUGCAACUGUUUAUUAAAAACACAGCACUGUGCAAACACGAAAGUGGACGUAUACGGUGUGACGCCUGCCCGGUGCCGGAAGGUUAAUUGAUGGGGUUAGCCGCAAGGCGAAGCUCUUGAUCGAAGCCCCGGUAAACGGCGGCCGUAACUAUAACGGUCCUAAGGUAGCGAAAUUCCUUGUCGGGUAAGUUCCGACCUGCACGAAUGGCGUAAUGAUGGCCAGGCUGUCUCCACCCGAGACUCAGUGAAAUUGAACUCGCUGUGAAGAUGCAGUGUACCCGCGGCAAGACGGAAAGACCCCGUGAACCUUUACUAUAGCUUGACACUGAACAUUGAGCCUUGAUGUGUAGGAUAGGUGGGAGGCUUAGAAGUGUGGACGCCAGUCUGCAUGGAGCCGACCUUGAAAUACCACCCUUUAAUGUUUGAUGUUCUAACGUUGACCCGUAAUCCGGGUUGCGGACAGUGUCUGGUGGGUAGUUUGACUGGGGCGGUCUCCUCCUAAAGAGUAACGGAGGAGCACGAAGGUUGGCUAAUCCUGGUCGGACAUCAGGAGGUUAGUGCAAUGGCAUAAGCCAGCUUGACUGCGAGCGUGACGGCGCGAGCAGGUGCGAAAGCAGGUCAUAGUGAUCCGGUGGUUCUGAAUGGAAGGGCCAUCGCUCAACGGAUAAAAGGUACUCCGGGGAUAACAGGCUGAUACCGCCCAAGAGUUCAUAUCGACGGCGGUGUUUGGCACCUCGAUGUCGGCUCAUCACAUCCUGGGGCUGAAGUAGGUCCCAAGGGUAUGGCUGUUCGCCAUUUAAAGUGGUACGCGAGCUGGGUUUAGAACGUCGUGAGACAGUUCGGUCCCUAUCUGCCGUGGGCGCUGGAGAACUGAGGGGGGCUGCUCCUAGUACGAGAGGACCGGAGUGGACGCAUCACUGGUGUUCGGGUUGUCAUGCCAAUGGCACUGCCCGGUAGCUAAAUGCGGAAGAGAUAAGUGCUGAAAGCAUCUAAGCACGAAACUUGCCCCGAGAUGAGUUCUCCCUGACCCUUUAAGGGUCCUGAAGGAACGUUGAAGACGACGACGUUGAUAGGCCGGGUGUGUAAGCGCAGCGAUGCGUUGAGCUAACCG